UACGAAGGGGGCUAGCGUUGCUCGGAAUCACUGGGCGUAAAGGGCGCGUAGGCGGACAGUUUAGUCAGAGGUAAAAGCCCAGGGCUCAACCUUGGAACUGCCUUUGAUACUGACUGUCUUGAGUUCGGGAGAGGUGAGUGGAAUGCCGAGUGUAGAGGUGAAAUUCGUAGAUAUUCGGCGGAACACCAGUGGCGAAGGCGACUCACUGGCCCGAUACUGACGCUGAGGCGCGAAAGCGUGGGGAGCAAACAGG
rnacentral:rRNA from 1 species